UUAGUACUCUCUCCGUCCGGAAAUACUUGUCAAAGAAAUGGAAGUAUCUAGACAUAUUUUAGUUCUAGAUACAUCUAUUUUUAUUCAUUUUUCUGACAAGUAUUUCAGGAUGGAGGGAGUAUUUA
rfam:Triticum aestivum genome assembly, contig: Triticum_aestivum_CS42_TGACv1_scaffold_271711_3DS